UUCUUGUUUUUCCUUUUACUAGGGUGAAUACGAGAGAAUCUUUACACAGGAAGCUUUAGGCUCAGGUGCCAGCUAUACUUAGAUAUUAGAUUUUAGAGAUCUUGGUCCCUCUUGUUGUUUGAUAGUUGGGAAACAGCCUCUCCAGCUGGAGGGAAGGGGUUUCACUGUCUCAGCUAGCUUGUUGCAUGGCAACAAGCCAGAGAACGUCUUGGGUCAUUCUUUGAAGAAUCCUCUUGCUUCCAAAUCUCCAUAUUUGCACUUUAGAGCUUCCUGACAUUAAAGACUUCAUCUCUGGGCAAACCCCAAAUAACGGGACCAUCAAGCAAUAGUGGAUGUCACAGUAGCAAAUGUCAACUAAAAGAGAGUUGCUGCUGUAUAAUUUCAGCCCAUGUGCAGGUGUAAGCAUUAACAUUAAAGAUGGAAGGCGACUUCGGAGAACGAAAUGAAAAACUCUGUGAAGUGUGUUUGGAGUACUAAGUGACAUGUGUGACCAGUUCUUACAGUGUGGAGGGGGUGUUCUUGAAUGAUGAGAUCCUCAUAGAGAAGGCUGAGAAAUACGAAAGGAUUCCGAGGAAGAAGGAUCUCUCGACUCCUAAGAGUAUCUGCUGUCUAAUUACAGAACCAAAUUUGGGCCCAUUACGUAAGGCAGCAAGCCUCAAGCAGCAUAUAGCACCGGAACAGCUUCAGAGAGACCUGGGCAAGUCAUGCUACCUUGGAGAGCUCUUGUUGAGAGGAGCCACUGCAUUAUGUCUACAAGACUAGACUGUAAUGGGAGAGCGUGUCACAUAUUCUUCCAACAAAAAUGGACACCUGCAUCAUUAUGUCUCCCUUUGCAUCCAUUCUGUAAUAUGGCAAAGGAGUGAUUAAGCCCCAAUGUCAGCCUAUGACUGGAGGUCUUUAAUGUGCAUGAUCAGAGUGUAACCCCAGGGGGCACAUCUUAAAGGGGCAGGAUUCCCUUCUCCAAGAACAUUCAGAGUGCAAACAAACCAUUAUGAACCAGAGAAGAAAGUUGGGUAAAUCCAAAGGAGAGGAGGAGAGACUCUUUCUAAAUGAGCUAGAUAGAAGUGCACACUAUAUUUUUCAAUAACUUUUAUUAGACUUCUUUCAUCACAAUACCUAUGCUACAAGUAAAGAUGACAUAUUGACAAAUCCUUACACACAGGAAGAGAAGCUGAAGUCAGAUUUACAUUUUUAGCCCUAAAGCAAAACUCUAUAAAGCACAUACACAUUUAUUCAACAUUUGACAAAAUCACACUCAUGAUGUGUGAGACAUCAUGUACCCAGCACACUCCUCGUUCCUGGAUCUCAAAUCUACUGGGGAUGCUUCACAGGAGGUUAUAUCAACAUGAUAGGAGAGAUAAGAGGAAAAGGAGGUGGAAGGCAUCCUGCCUGUCACACACCAGGCAGCUUGAGCUAGUAAAAUCAGACCCCUUGCAAAGAGACAUGGUAUCUUCUCAUGUAUCUGCGGUCCUCAGAUCUCCACAUAGCUGAAAGUUUAAAAUAUGAGCCUACAGCCAUGUCUUUCAGCACGUCAUACACCAGUCUGGCCCAAAAUGCAUUGAAGCCCAGGGACAAGUGAAUGCAUUGGAAUUUGGCUGGUGAGUGGCAGGGUCCCUCUGAGCUUCCCAAAUGGCUUUUCAAAGAUCUGUAAUUUGGCAAAGCUACAAACCUCUUACAUUAACUGAAGAUACUUCUUCAUUUUUAAAAAUUGUGGUAAAACAUUACAUAACAUGAAAUUUACCAUUUUAACCAUUUUUAAAUGUACAGUUCAGUGGCAUUAAGUGUAUUCAUGCUGUUGUGCAACCAUCACCACCAUCCAUCUCUAGAACUUUUUAUCAUCCCAAACUGAAACUCUGUACCCAUUAGAUAAUAACUCCCCAUCUCCCUUCAUCCUAAAAUCCAUUCAUAUUGUAAAUGACAUUUAAUGUUAUAGUUUUCAUUCCCGAUUGCUCCUGUAUAUUAUUGUAAAAAAAAAACCCUCCAUUUUUGCUGCCCUUACAUGCUGCUGCAUAAGAUGCUAACAAAGGUUUCUGGAAUUUUUAUUUUUCACCACAGAACUGAGUUUUCACCAGAUACAUUAAGACACUAAACUAGCGUGGGUGGCAGUACUUGAAUCCUGCUUCCUGUCACUCCCAUGUGGUUAAGGAUAGUGUACGGCCAGUUGUUACUAGUGACUACUCCAAGACAUAUUAUGACACACACCCUCCUGCUCAGCCACAGGGCAAGGACCUCAAAGACUUGGUCUGGAAAAGGAUACCCGUAACUACCUCCAUUCCUGCUCUUAGAUUUCUUCAGUCUUUCUUCUUCCAAACUCCAACAUGCCAGACACCCCUACUUUCUCUAAGGCCUAUAUUCCCUCACAAGCCAUCACUUACUAGAAUAUUUUUCACUGUAACAGACUUAUUUCCAUACAGUCUAGUAUUCAAAAUAGCUUUCCUUUUACAUUCUCACAGUGCACUGAAUUAGCCAUGUCUUGAUUCCCUUAAA